rnacentral:rRNA from 1 species
GAUGAACGCUGGCGGCGUGCCUAAUACAUGCAAGUCGAGCGAACAGAUGAGGAGCUUGCUCCUCUGACGUUAGCGGCGGACGGGUGAGUAACACGUGGAUAACCUACCUAUAAGACUGGGAUAACUUCGGGAAACCGGAGCUAAUACCGGAUAAUAUAUUGAACCGCAUAGUUCAAUAGUGAAAGACGGUUUUGCUGUCACUUAUAGAUGGAUCCGCGCCGCAUUAGCUAGUUGGUAAGGUAACGGCUUACCAAGGCAACGAUGCGUAGCCGACCUGAGAGGGUGAUCGGCCACACUGGAACUGAGACACGGUCCAGACUCCUACGGGAGGCAGCAGUAGGGAAUCUUCCGCAAUGGGCGAAAGCCUGACGGAGCAACGCCGCGUGAGUGAUGAAGGUCUUCGGAUCGUAAAACUCUGUUAUUAGUGAAGAACAAAUGUGUAAGUAACUAUGCACGUCUUGACGGUACCUAAUCAGAAAGCCACGGCUAACUACGUG